GAUCCUGGCUCAGAAUCAACGCUGGCGGCGUGCCUAACACAUGCAAGUCGAACGCGAAAGCCCCGCAAGGGGUGAGUAGAGUGGCAAACGGGUGAGUAACACGUGGGUGAUCUGCCUCAGAGUGGGGGAUAACGACCCGAAAGGGUCGCUAAUACCGCAUAACAUCCUGCCUUUGGAUAGGCGGCGAUCAAAGCCUGGGAUCCGCAAGGACCAGGCGCUUAGAGAGGAGCCCGCGGCCGAUUAGCUAGUUGGUGAGGUAACGGCUCACCAAGGCGACGAUCGGUAUCCGGCCUGAGAGGGCGGACGGACACACUGGGACUGAGACACGGCCCAGACUCCUACGGGAGGCAGCAGUGGGGAAUUGUUCGCAAUGGGCGCAAGCCUGACGACGCAACGCCGCGUGGAGGACGAAGAUCUUCGGGUCGUAAACUCCUUUCGAUCGGGAAGAAUGGCUCCGGGGUUAACAGCCUCGGAGAAUGACGGUACCGAGAGAAGAAGCCCCGGCUAACUCUGUGCCAGCAGCCGCGGUAAUACAGGGGGGGCAAGCGUUGUUCGGAAUUACUGGGCGUAAAGGGCUCGUAGGCGGCCAACUAAGUCCGACGUGAAAUCCCAAAGCUUAACUUUGGAACUGCGUCGGAUACUGGAUGGCUUGAAUUCGGGAGAGGGAUGCAGAAUUCCAGGUGUAGCGGU
rnacentral:rRNA from 1 species